rnacentral:lncRNA from 1 species
AGAAGAACUCACAAGCUAUGAGUGACAUCUAACCAUAUGUCAUAGCUACCCAAACUAAUGUAGAAGUUUAUUCGAAGAACCUAGUCAGUUGGAAUUAUAAUGUAAUUCAAUCCUUCUCUAAUACAAUACUCUCAAUCACAUCAUUAGGGUAUGGAUAUAUCAUGUCAAACCCCUAAUGUGAUUAUUCCUUCUUAUAUGAUCCAAUUGAGUCGUAUAUGAACGCUUUCCUUUAUUACGCUCGAUACUUUGGCCGAAGAUUCCCGAAUCAUAUCUUAGAGUAUUCUUCCUCUCUUAUCGAGGAUUAGAGAUUCCUUGUUGCGCAUACACUUGCCUUCAUGACUAAGUGGCUUAACCCCAACUAUGUCGUUGACAUUCUGAUAGAGUGACGUUGACAUAAUCAAAGAUUAAGUACUUAACCACAAGACAACGACGAUGCCUCAGGUCAAAGGACUACUUACAUUAUUCCAACCAUUAGAGUUACUUGCUUGACAUGUGAGUAGACCUCCAUGCAAGUACUCUCUUUCGAUUGUGUUUAGUGAACUCAUUCCCUUAAUGAGCACCUACAUACUUGUCUUAGUGUCACAACACGAAUGGGAUGAG